rnacentral:rRNA from 1 species
UGAGGAAUAUUGCACAAUGGGCGCAAGCCUGAUGCAGCGACGCCGCGUGUGGGAUGAAGGGGCUACGCCUCGUAAACCACUGUAGCCCGGGACGAAAAACGCCUUAGAGGCGUUAGACGGUACCGGGAAAGUAAGGGUCGGCUAACUACGUGCCAGCAGCCGCGGUAAUACGUAGGACCCAAGCGUUGUCCGGAUUUACUGGGUGUAAAGGGUGCGCAGGCGGAUGGGUAAGUCAGGGGUGAAAGUCUGCAGCUUAACUGUAGAAUUGCCUUUGAUACUGGUCAACUUGAGUGUGGGAGAGGUUGAUGGAAUUCCAGGUGUAGCAGUGAAAGGCGGAGAUAUCUGGAAGAACACGAGGGGCGAAGGCGGUCAACUGGCCGAUAACUGACGCGCAUGCACGAAAGCGUGGGGAGCAAAC